rnacentral:lncRNA from 10 species
GCAGAUGAAACAAAGAAAUAUUUACCUGAGCCCGAGAUUAUGUGUACAUUGUUUUCUGAGGCCUGAUGACCUCAAUACUCCUUCUGGCUGGAGAGACCUCCUCAUUCAGUCCAUUCCAAAUAGUCAGCAGAGGGAGUUCACCUCUUCUCCACGGAAUGAGCGUGGUCCUUGUCCUUUAUUAUUUGGUUUCUAUCUCCUAACAAAUGACAUUAAAUGUUCCCUCAUUCAAAACAUCUUGUGGGCCUUGUGGUGUUCUGGUCACUGCUACCCUCUCAAUGCCACACAUGAGCCCUCAGGGUGAGCCCUACAGAGUUUCAUCCUUGUGGAUAAGAAGAUGUGUACUUGGGAACAAGGCUAAAGCCAUGGCUGAUUUCCCCAACCUUUUAUCGCGAAGAACUCCAGUUGUAACUUUUGAGAGUUUUUUUGGCAAAAGGAACUACAUUUACUCAUGCCAAAUACCUAUGGUCACUUCUCAGUACUCUUUGGAUACCUUUAUUAGGAGAGCUUGAAUUAACACCAUGGAAGAAAGCAUGAAGAUGAAUGAGCACACACACACACACACACACCCCAUUCACACUCAAAUAGGAAUCUCUGGUAGACUCAAAGAGUACAGCUGAUUUGCCAUUUCAGAGUGAAAAGGCUGCACUGUCUCACCCUGCCCCCAAAGUCUAACCUAUCCUAUUUUAACUGGUAUUGGUAAAAACUAUUUUUGCAAUUCCUUGCCGAAAGGAAUCAAACGGAUCCCUUUAACAUGUACAUAUAGUUCCAUUAUAAUGCAAUGCAGGUAACACUAACUUGAUUUCAAGAACAUUGUCAAAACUGGGGUACACAUCCUUCUAUUAGAAAUGGCUGGGGGACAGCUGAGAAUAAAUUUAUGGAAUUACAAAUUAUGGGAAUACUGGACUAAGUCAAGAAUGGUUACCAUGUAGCCAUUUUUACCAGCUAUUCUAGAGUCCCUUCACACAUAAACUUGACCCUGCAUUCCGGGAAAAGUACCUCUGGGUUGUCACUACAGAGUAAGGCUGGGGUCCUGCCAACCUUCCUUCAUCCUUUCUUCUAGUUCAUAAUAGGGAAGGUGAGCCAUUUCAUUCAUUCAUGUUUUGUUUGUUUUGUUUUUUUGAGACAGGGUCUGGCUCUAUUGCCUGGGCUGGAGUGCAGUGACACGAUCUUGGCUUAGUGCAACCUCUGCCUCCC